UCUCCUGUAGUUCAGUGGUAGAGCGUCCGACCGGGGUGCGGAAGGUCAUAGGUUCGACUCCUGUUGGGGGAA
rnacentral:tRNA from 1 species